CCAAAACCCCAGAACAACACCAAAGCAGAAAAUACUCCUUUCUGUUUGAAAGAGCUCAAGUGAGCUCCCUUCGCCGGGCUGUUUCUUCGCCAACCGGCCACUAGGCUCUGAACCGAGAACGUGUACUCGUUCCUCCAUCUUCAGGCUACCAAACCCAACAAUCGAAAGGCCGAAGCCUUCUCUAUAUUUUCCUGACCAAAGGCCGCAAUAUCCUUCGGCGGCCAACGUCGAAUUCCCGACUUAGCCACCGGCCAACUUACGGCCUUCGUUUCUCACUAUCCUUACGACGAAAAAGGAUCGAGAAACCACCGUUGUGUAGCCUGAUCUACCUCGCACGAGGAAAACUAAGUCGUAGACCUUCGCGGCUAAACACCAUCGCGGAACGACGACCGGAAAACCCCCGACGAACAACUUCCAUUAGUGCUCACUUGGACAAGGGUUGAGCUGAUGUGAUGAUGGUGCUGCAAUGAGCGGAGUCUCCAGGGUUGUUAAUAAAUAGUUAACCUGUCUAGAAUAUGUCUUCAUACAUAUGUCUAGCUACUUUCCGCUGCAAGAUGUUGUUGAUGUUAUAGUAUGUUAUGUCAUACUUUGAGUCUUAAGAGAAUGGUUUCAUAUGAUGUAUAACUUGAUUAAUGCUAUUAAUUAAGUUUUAUGCUGUCUUUCAUAGACUA